rnacentral:misc_RNA from 1 species
ACUAAGGAAGAUGUACGAGAGCUCAUAUACAGAGAAAUUUUAGAGUACCAUCCUAACAUGUUGAAAGAAUACUUAGAAGGUGCGGAGCCAACAGGGUUCAUGUAUCCAAGUGCUGUUGACCAUUUUAAGAAGCAAUUUGCUUACCUUGAGGAGCACUAUGGAAAUGGUGCAACUGCUGCUCCACCUGAGAGGCAGCAUGCAUCCUUGCCGAGGCCGUGCGUGUUAUAUUCAGAUAAUACAGUACAGAAUUCACUGGAAGUCUCAAAUGAUCUUUCCAAAUGCUCUAUCAAAGAAAUUGGGAAGCCACAUAUGGACCAAAAUGGUGGGAUCCCAAUGACAAGGCUUCCUCUUCAUGUUCCUCAAAGUAUCCAAGGUGCUGCAAGACCUGGGAAAGUUGUUGGUUCAGUAAUGCGUUAUAACAAUUGUGGGGUGGCGGCAACAGCAGAAGCUCAUGAACAACGACGGGUGGUCAGAAAUCCAACUAUUUCAACUCAAUAUACUGCUUCAAACUGUUCAUAUCCUAGAAGAAAUCCAGUCUGUAAAAAUGAAAGGAGAGAAGAUGAAGGGGUUGAAGGCUCUAAUGGAUUGCAGCCAAAGCCUCAGUACAUGGCCAGGAAAGUUGCUGCUGCCCAAGGUGGAUCUGGGAAUCACUGGUACUGAUAAUGUGGGCAUGUGGUAAACUAGAAUGCUCGACUGGCUAUAACCAACCUAAUGUUGACAGUCAUCGGAGCACAUUUAAUUGGAUUGAUCUUGCUGCCAAAGUGAAUUUAUAUGUUUCUACUGCUGUAAUUUAGUGGUGUUUUUCCACCAGCUCAAUUGCUUGAGAAGAUUUGAGGGCUGAGACUUCUGUUGUAGGAUGUUAGGCAGCAAGUUGUAAUUUAUAACGCUAAUUUAUGGUUGACUGGGUUCUUUGGUGCUUACCAUUCAUGACCUUAUAGCUCUCUGAUUUAGCUCAAUAACCCAGAUACAG